ensembl:lncRNA
GUCCUGCCUUUGGCGAUGUAUGCAUUUAAUGGAUUACAUAGAAAAAAACAGCAUUCUUUGAAAAAUAUCUGGACAUGAAUACCAAAGAUAUCCAUAUAUGUUUAUAUUUCUAUAAGAUAUUUCUAUUUACAUGUUUGAACUAACACAACAACUAAAUCAAUCAAUGAAAAAAUAAUGCUGCAUUUUAUUUAUCCUCAAAAAAACACAUUUGCACAGAAAUGUGCACAUUAAUUUGUGUUACACAUAAAAAGAAAUAAUACCCUUUUCCUAAUUAAAUAUAGCAGGCUCAAAACAUUUCUACAAAAAAUCUUCAUAAGGUAAUGUUAAACUAUUUAAACUAUGUUAAACUAGUCCUGGGACAUACUUAUUUUGAUAUGACAGAAAAAUGAUAAGAGACCUCUUAAUCAACAACAUAAUUAAAUUAAUGUGAUAGAAUACUUUUCAGCGAGUUUUGUCAAUGAUAAAUCUUUCAAAUGACUUAGGUUUAAUUAAUCCUGAUGUUAUAUAGAGAGAUCCGUAAAGAGGUCCCCAUUUAUAUAACUUGUUGCAGAAAUAAUGAAAUAUGAAAAAAUAUGUACAAAAUCAAAACUUUGAGAUGAAGACAAAUCAAAUACACAAUACUCAGUGAAGAAAAUUGGAAGGAAAUGUUCCUUCAACACUUCAGAGGUAAAAUUUUGAGGUAUGAGUGUUCAUAUAGCCACUGAUAUUGUUUGCACUGUGAUAUGUAAACAACCUUGUCUAACACAAUCAUACAUGCUGUAUAAGGGUUCAGUACUACAACAAUUAAGAGGUCAAAAUACAAAAAAAAAAGUAAUACUAAAUAAAAUAUGUACAACAGAAGUUUGCGAGAUGAUGUUAACACAAUAAAUUGGCACUUUUUUUACAAUGUGUCUUUGGUGACAUAUGAAGCUGCCUGGAAGUAAGCAGCAAACACUUGGUUAAGUUUCAUCAACCAUUACAUAUUUCCAGCUAUUUUAGGAUUCCACUACUACCGGCCUUUUAAUCGACCUCACAUUCCCAAAAAUAUCCUUUUGAUCUGAGAAAGUCAUGAAAAACACAUUUCACUCUUUAAAUUAUCCAGUACAGUUUUUACAGAAAUGUUUAACGCAUGGUAGAAUUUACAGUGUCCAUGUAAUCCUGUAAAAAAACUGAAUAUAUGUUGCAGUGAUUGUUACACUGAUAACCUUUCCCCCCAAGAGGCCAAAUAAACUUAAGAAGCAUUAGUAUUUAGAGGUAUUUCCAAACACUAAAAUUCUCUAGAAUUGUUUUAAUGCUGUUAAAAACUGCUUUAAAACAACAUUAACAUAAAAUAGAACAUUUGCAUUGGUGGAGAUCUAUAUAUGAGCCUUCUCUUAGAUUUAGAUUAAGAAACUGCAGCCAUCUCAAUACAAUACAUACAGGAUAUUAUACAAAACAUAUGAUUCACAAAGUUCAAAAUCGAGAAUUAACAGAUUACAAUAAAGAGCAAAACAUGCAGUAUAUAAAUUUCCUAUUUAUAGUUUCAGGUGGGGCUACAACGAUGACAUAAUCGAUAACAUCGACUUUAAAAAUUCGUCGACGGUCAUACUCUAGAACCACGUAAAUAUGUUUUUGCAACUGCAAUACACUAUAGGAAGCUAUGGGGGCAGUGUCGCCUAUAUGGGCUGCCAAUACGGCAUUUAGUACUAACGAAGAAGAACGUAGCGCGAAAAGUAAAACAGCUGGCGUGGGGAAGAGGGGAGAAAAUGCAAAAAAAUGUGAAAGUUAAUUGCAGACUGUGCAAAACCUUUCACGACAGCACUACUGCAGCACAAGAGCAUGUCCGUCAGCACCCUGGUGCGGUGACGUUAACUCUGAACGGGUCAGUUUUAGAGAGUUACGUUAGUGCGUCGCGUUGAUACCUCGUUUAUGUUUAUGUUAAUGUUUGUGUUAGCUUGCCUGUCGGAAAUUUCUCAUGGAAGAUGCUUGCUAAGCAAACACCAUUUCAGUUGUGUUAGCUAAUGAGUGAAAUACGAUGGUAAAAACAUUAAACAGGAGUAGCAACACUCUCCCUUUUUUCUUUAACAUUAAUAUUAGCGUUUAUUUCGAAUAGUAAACCUCUUCUAGAUGUUAUUUUGGACUGGAAAAUAAAAUCUUUUUGAUUUAAUUUGAAGCUUUAUUUGAACUUACGGAGAGACGUUUUUAGUUUGCGCAUUGUUUUUUUGUUUGUUUGUUUGUUUGUUUAAAUACUACUAGCACUUUAAUUUGUAUUGCUUUAUUUUUAUUUACUUCAUUUUUAUUCUGUCCUACUGAGUAAUGUUAAAAAUAAAUUGGAUUAUUAUCAUAUUCAUAUGUUUUCUGUGUCAUUACUUUCAUUUUCUUUGGGUAGAGGCAACAGGGUGGGCAGACUUGAAGUGAAGUUGAGAGUUAUUGAAAUAAUUGCUGACUAAUCAAAAAAAAUAAAAUUUGCAGAUUCGUCAACUACUAAAAUGUAGGUCUGCAACAAUUUUGGUGUAGCUCAUGUUUCAAGGUCUAAUCACAUCUGAUAGUGAGAACAUAUAGCUGAUACUGUUUUGACAGAAGUGUAUCACAACAUCAUUUGAUUCAUAAACUUGUAUGUGGUGAUUAUGCAGAGGUAUAUUUUUGUGGAUAUACACUUUUUUCCAAUACACAGCUUUUCCUCUAUAAUGUAAUUGGUAUUACUGAUCAGACGAUACACUACUUUAUCUAUUGAUUAUCAGUUAACUGUAAUGAUUUCUCCUGGUUGACAGUGUAAUUGUUUUGCUGUUGAUGGCUGGUUCCUAAAACACAUUUCUAAAUAUAAUCCCUAAAAGCUGAAAUACUUUACUAAUUUGGGUCAUAAUCAUAUACUAUACUGAUUACAUGCUAUCAAGUCCUCUUUUGAAGAAUCUGGUGCUAAUUUUCCAAAUUGUUCUUCUAAUUUCAAAAAAUUGAUCAAAUGCCACUACUUGAUAAUGUAACUUAUUUUCAAUGUGGAAAGAUUCAUCUUGGUGAAGAUGCCUCUUUGUCUGUCUUGCCUUCAUAGUUACCCUACAUGAUGCUGUCUCCUUGCACCACAGGGUAGCAAGUGAAGAACUAUUUUUAAAUCAUCUUUCAAGAUCUACAAAGUAAUGUGUGUUGGAAAAUAGAAUUAUUGUGUUCCCAGUGUACCUUUUAACAAAAUGCCUCUAAACAGCUUUUACACUAAUCAUGCUAGAGUAAAAAUAAGACUGCAACCUCAUUGCAACUAGAAAGGAAUGGUAAUUACCUGGUGAUCACACAGAUUUUUUUUUUACUGUUGAAAACCAAUUGCAAGUACUUGUGGUAACUAAGUGGCUGCUCAGAGGUUCAGCACUCAACCUCUCGGUGCUUGCAGUUUGCCUGGUGGGAGGAAAUCUGUCACCAAACAACCAUUGUCGGACUCUAACUGCUAUUACUCUCACGGAUUGCAGAAGGUUUGCAAAUAAUUGUUAUCUGAUUUACAAAUGCAGACACACUGACAACAUAUCAUAAUCAGUUUGAGUCAGUCUGCACUGAUGAGACACAAAUCAGUUUCUUUGCAAAAGAGGACUAAACCCAACUGGUUCUAGUCUUGUUAUGUUCCUAUAUAACAGCAAGGUUGACAAGCACCUAUGUCAUUUCGCAAUUAAAUUGCAGCAGCUACAUCACAAUUUCUGUUUCAAAUCUACGAGCUUCUGGCUUGACUCUGAAUGUAAGUAGUUUGUGUAAAAAUCUGUUUAAUGUAGACAGCAACAGAUUUAUCACAGUUAAUUACCAUAUUCUCGCAGACAAAUUGCAUGUAAUUGCCAGCUUGACCUCCUCCAACCUGAUAGCAAACUGACUCCAUCUUAUUGCCAUUUACGGCUAUUGGCUGCAAGUGGUUGCAGACCUGGUGCCUGUCUCUGAAGCAACAAAUUCAAACUUGAACUUAUUCACGCGUUCGUUGUACACAGUUGCAGUAAUCUUGGUCAUUCUGCAUUCUGCAGUCAUUGUUUCCCCGUGUGUGAUUGUAGCACAAAGACAAAUUCGUGUUACG